rnacentral:misc_RNA from 1 species
GCUGCGGCGGGCUCUGGCGG